AAAAAUAGAAGGUCCGGUUUAUUCUUCUUCCACACAUCCUUUAAAUAGUUCUCCGUCAGGUCAGCCCCUAUACCUUGACAGUUCCAGCUUAUGACUUUCACGUUUGAGCCGGUGGUUUCGGGAGCGCCACCGUCCCUUUCUUCGACACACGACUCUCUCCACCCGAGAUGAUUCCUUCCUUAACUUUGUGGUGUUGUCUGCCUACAGCCUUUUGCUUAAUACCAUCACCUACAGUUUUAGAUCAAAACUCAUUUAAUCAGAAGAAUUUGGGUUUGCUGAAUUCAAUAUGAAGUGAUCGAC
rnacentral:lncRNA from 1 species